rnacentral:rRNA from 1 species
UACGUAGGGUGCGAGCGUUGUCCGGAAUUACUGGGCGUAAAGAGCUCGUAGGUGGUUUGUCGCGUUGUUCGUGAAAUCUCACGGCUUAACUGUGAGCGUGCGGGCGAUACGGGCAGACUAGAGUACUGCAGGGGAGACUGGAAUUCCUGGUGUAGCGGUGGAAUGCGCAGAUAUCAGGAGGAACACCGGUGGCGAAGGCGGGGUCUCUGGGCAGUAACUGACGCUGAGGAGCGAAAGCGUGGGGGAGCGAACAGG